rnacentral:lncRNA from 1 species
UUGAGUGCACGUGCACACAGUAAUAGUUCUGUCCGUUGGAGUCGGAGGGCAUCGAUCCCCCUACCUCCCGCAUAUCAUCUGCUGCACUCAGCAUCGCAUGCUAAGCGGGCGCUCUACCAUUUGAGCUACGACCCCUGCACAUCCUCACCACUCUGCGCUCGAUGACGGGAUCGAACCGUCGACCUUACGGUUAACAGCCGUGCGCUCUACCGACUGAGCUAACCGAGCAGGUCUGGCAGAUGGAUGUACGGCAGCACCAAGCAUACGCCACAUGCCCCGUACUGUACGACUGCUACGGCUGAACCUGUGCACCGUGCCGUACGACAAAAGAACAGAAAAAAUGCGAUGCGAUUCGGUUGAUACAACCUACUGCAUACCAAGGUGCAGGUAAUGCGUCAGCAACCAGCUGCAAACAGGGCUCUAUCGAUGUAUUGUUCGGGUCCGUGCCGUCAGUGCACACCAGCAUAACACAUAAGAAAUGGGGACCUGCAAUUCAUUCAUGCAAAAAAUGUAAUAAUGUAGCUGGCCGCUCGUCGCUGGCCGCCGAUUGGAAUGCUGGAAUAAAAAAAUACCCUGUGUUCGUGCAUGUAUGCCUUGAGGGGGUAGUAGCCGGCCCAGGCCAAAAAGGCCUCUCGAGAUGCGAGGAACAUGUGCUCCAGUGCGUAUUCAUGUAUGUUUUCGCGGGAAGCCUUCGUUGCAAAAAGGAAACAUAUGUAGCUGGCAAGCAAUGAAAACAGGGCCGGGUGUGGGUGCACUCCCCCGAAGCGACAACUAGGGCCUGCAGACCAACUACUUCAGGGCGGUAGUACACAAACACCCGAAGUAACCAGCACAACCACGCACGCAAGUCCAUGCAAAUCGUACAGCGGCACUCCCAAUUCACAGGAAACUUUAGUUUUCUCGACGCUUCGCUUACAAAGCUAUGAGAUUGUGUGAAGGAGGGGGCAAUAGCUUCAUCCGUGGCCACCACUAGCCUGGCAGUGUUUACCUUCCCGGGUGUGUUUGGGUGCACCCUCAUGCUCAUGCUUCUGACCCAUGCCGACUUCUGAAACGUCAGUGGCAUUUUCGGGUCCAGCACGCACCAUCGUGGAAUCUGUGCCUGGAAUCAACGGCGGCAGCAGCAAGUUUCCACUCCGGGUCGGCUUUUGCAGGUGUGUCACUACACCAGUGGUUCCAUCAUCUCGGCCAUCAGCAAUGGAAUCGAUUGGCAUCCAUCCAGCCUCUUCUGUUCAAGAAUCUGUCCCGGGAUCACUUCCAAAACAGCCUUCCCGGGACAGCACACUCUGUACCUUCCUUCCUUAUCACCUUCCCCAGCAUAAAGCCUGUCGUGUUUCAAUGGGUUGAGUGCACGUGCACACAGUAAUAGUUCUGUCCGUUGGAGUCGGAGGGCAUCGAUCCCCCUACCCUACCUCCCGCACAUCAUCUGCGGCGCUCAGCAUCGCAUGCUAAGCGGGCGCUCUACCAUUUGAGCUACGACCCCUGCACAUCCUCACCUCUCUGCGCUCGAUGACGGGAUCGAACCGUCGACCUUACGGUUAACAGCCGUGCGCUCUACCGACUGAGCUAACCGAGCAGGUCUGGCAGAUGAUGUACGGCAGCACCAAGCAUACGCCACAUGCCCCGUACUGUACGACUGCUACGGCUGAACCUGUGCACCGUGCCGUACGACAAAAGAACAGAAAAAAUGCGAUGCGAUUAGGUUGAUACAACCUACUGCAUACCAAGGUGCAGGUAAUGCGUCAGCAACCAGCUGCAAACAGGGCUCUAUCGAUGUAUUGGUCGGGUCCGUGCCGUCAGUGCACACCAGCAUAACACAUAAGAAAUGGGGACCUGCAAUUCAUUCAUGCAAAAAAUGUAAUAAUGUAGCUGGCCGCUCGUCGCUGGCCGCCGAUUGGAAUGCUGGAAUAAAAAAAUACCCUGUGUUCGUGCAUGUAUGCCUUGAGGGGGUAGUAGCCGGCCCAGGCCAAAAAGGCCUCUCGAGAUGCGAGGAACAUGUGCUCCAGUGCGUAUUCAUGUAUGUUUUCGCGGGAAGCCUUCGUUGCAAAAAGGAAACAUAUGUAGCUGGCAAGCAAUGAAAACAGGGCCGGGUGUGGGUGCACUCCCCCGAAGCGACAACUAGGGCCUGCAGACCAACAACUACUUCAGGGCGGUAGUACACAAACACCCGAAGUAACCAGCACAACCACGCACGCAAGUCCAUGCAAAUCGUACAGCGGCACUCCCAAUUCACAGGAAACUUUAGUUUUCUCGACGCUUCGCUUACAAAGCUAUGAGAUUGUGUGAAGAAGGGGGCAAUAGCUUCAUCCGUGGCCACCACUAGCCUGGCAGUGUUUACCUUCCCGGGUGUGUUUGGGUGCACCCUCAUGCUCAUGCUUCUGACCCAUGCCGACUUCUGAAACGUCAGUGGCAUUUUCGGGUCCAGCACGCACCAUCAGCACAUCCCGUGGAAUCUGUGCCUGGAAUCAACGGCGGCAGCAGCAAGUUUCCACUCCGGGUCGGCUUUUGCAGGUGUGUCACUACACCAGUGGUUCCAUCAUCUCGGCCAUCAGCAAUGGAAUCGAUUGGCAUCCAUCCAGCCUCUUCUGUUCAAGAAUCUGUCCCGGGAUCACUUCCAAAACAGCCUUCCCGGGACAGCACACUCUGUACCUUCCUUCCUUAUCACCUUCCCCAGCAUAAAGCCUGUCGUGUUUCAAUGGGUUGAGUGCACGUGCACACAGUAAUAGUUCUGUCCGUUGGAGUCGGAGGGCAUCGAUCCCCUUACCUCCCGCACAUCAUCUGCGGCGCUCAGCAUCGCAUGCUAAGCGGGCGCUCUACCAUUUGAGCUACGACCCCUGCACAUCCUCACCUCUCUGCGCUCGAUGACGGGAUCGAACCGUCGACCUUACGGUUAACCGCCGUGCGCUCUACCGACUGAGCUAACCGAGCAGGUCUGGCAGAUGGAUGUACGGCAGCACCAAGCAUACGCCACAUGCCGUACUGUACGAGUGCUACGGCUGAACCUGUGCACCGUGCCGUACGACAAAAGAACAGAAAAAUGCGAUGCGAUUAGGUUGAUACAACCUACUGCAUACCAAGGUGCAGG